rnacentral:rRNA from 1 species
CCUACGGGAGGCAGCAGUAGGGAAUAUUGCUCAAUGGGGGAAACCCUGAAGCAGCAACGCCGCGUGGAGGAUGACGGUUUUCGGAUUGUAAACUCCUUUUUAUAGAGAAGAUAAUGACGGUAUCUAACGAAUAAGCACCGGCUAACACCGUGCCAGCAGCCGCGGUAAUACGGAGGGUGCAAGCGUUACUCGGAAUCACUGGGCGUAAAGAGCGCGUAGGCGGGAUAGCAAGUCAGAUGUGAAAUCCUAGGGCUUAACCAUAGACCUGCAAUUGGAACUGUUAUUCUAGAGUAUGGGAGAGGUAGGUGGAAUUCUUGGUGUAGGGGUAAAAUGCGUAGAGAUCAAGAGGAAUACUCAUUGCGAAGGCGACCUGCUAGAACAUAACUGACGCUGAUGCGCGAAAGCGUGGGGAGCAAACAGGAUUAGAUACCCGGGUAGUC